rnacentral:rRNA from 1 species
CUACUGGGGUUUCUAAUCCUGUUUGCUCCCCACGCUUUCGCACCUCAGCGUCAGUAUCGAGCCAGUGAGCCGCCUUCGCCACUGGUGUUCCUCCGAAUAUCUACGAAUUUCACCUCUACACUCGGAAUUCCACUCACCUCUCUCGACCUCAAGACUGGAAGUUUUGGAGGCAGUUCCAGGGUUGAGCCCUGGGAUUUCACCCCCAACUUGCCAAUCCGCCUACGUGCGCUUUACGCCCAGUAAUUCCGAACAACGCUAGCCCCCUCCGUAUUACCGCGGCUGCUGGCAC